rnacentral:rRNA from 1 species
UACGUAGGAUGCAAGCGUUGUCCGGAAUUACUGGGCGUAAAGCGUGCGCAGGCGGUUCGUUGUGUCGGCGGUGAAAGCCCCGGGCUUAACCUGGGAAUGGCCGUCGAAACUGGCGAACUGGAGUGUGGCAGAGGGGGGUGGAAUUCCGCGUGUAGCAGUGAAAUGCGUAGAGAUGCGGAGGAACACCGAUGGCGAAGGCAGCCCCCUGGGCUGACACUGACGCUCAGGCACGAAAGCGUGGGGAGCAAACAGG